rnacentral:rRNA from 1 species
CUUGAAUAACUAUAAGAGGUCCAGCCUGCCCAGUGACUUUGUUCAACGGCCGCGGUAUCCUAACCGUGCGAAGGUAGCGUAAUCACUUGUCUUUUAAAUGGGGACUUGUAUGAAUGGCAUCACGAGGGUUAUACUGUCUCCUUUUUCUAAUCAGUGAAACUAAUCUUCCCGUGAAGAAGCGGGAAUAAACAUAUAAGACGAGAAGACCCUAUGGAGCUUUAAACUCAAUAACAAAUACUAACCUUACAUCAACUUUCAGAAGAUCAACCUUAAUUUUAGUAUUAUGAUUAUUAGUUUUAGGUUGGGGUGACCGCGGAGUAAAAAUUAACCUCCACAUUGAACGGGACCUGUCCCUGAGCCAAGAACUACAGCUCAAAGCACCAACAAAUUGACAUUAAUUGACCCAAUAUUUUGAUCAACGAAC